rnacentral:rRNA from 1 species
AGAGUUUGAUCAUGGCUCAGAUUGAACGCUGGCGGCAGGGCCUAACACAUGCAAGUCGAGCGGUAGCACAGAGAGCUUGCUCUCGGGUGACGAGCGGCGGACGGGUGAGUAAUGUCUGGGAAACUGCCUGAUGGAGGGGGAUAACUACUGGAAACGGUAGCUAAUACCGCAUAAUGUCGCAAGACCAAAGUGGGGGACCUUCGGGCCUCAUGCCAUCAGAUGUGCCCAGAUGGGAUUAGCUAGUAGGUGGGGUAACGGCUCACCUAGGCGACGAUCCCUAGCUGGUCUGAGAGGAUGACCAGCCACACUGGAACUGAGACACGGUCCAGACUCCUACGGGAGGCAGCAGUGGGGAAUAUUGCACAAUGGGCGCAAGCCUGAUGCAGCCAUGCCGCGUGUGUGAAGAAGGCCUUCGGGUUGUAAAGCACUUUCAGCGGGGAGGAAGGCGAUUUAAGGUUAAUAACCUUAGGUCGAUUGACGUUACCCGCAGAAGAAGCACCGGCUAACUCCGUGCCAGCAGCCGCGGUAAUACGGAGGGUGCAAGCGUUAAUCGGAAUUACUGGGCGUAAAGCGCACGCAGGCGGUCUGUCAAGUCGGAUGUGAAAUCCCCGGGCUUAACCUGGGAACUGCAUUCGAAACUGGCAGGCUAGAGUCUUGUAGAGGGGGGUAGAAUUCCAGGUGUAGCGGUGAAAUGCGUAGAGAUCUGGAGGAAUACCGGUGGCGAAGGCGGCCCCCUGGACAAAGACUGACGCUCAGGUGCGAAAGCGUGGGGAGCAAACAGGAUUAGAUACCCUGGUAGUCCACGCCGUAAACGAUGUCGAUUUGGAGGUUGUGCCCUUGAGGCGUGGCUUCCGGAGCUAACGCGUUAAAUCGACCGCCUGGGGAGUACGGCCGCAAGGUUAAAACUCAAAUGAAUUGACGGGGGCCCGCACAAGCGGUGGAGCAUGUGGUUUAAUUCGAUGCAACGCGAAGAACCUUACCUGGUCUUGACAUCCACAGAACUUUCCAGAGAUGGAUUGGUGCCUUCGGGAACUGUGAGACAGGUGCUGCAUGGCUGUCGUCAGCUCGUGUUGUGAAAUGUUGGGUUAAGUCCCGCAACGAGCGCAACCCUUAUCCUUUGUUGCCAGCGGUACCGGCCGGGAACUCAAAGGAGACUGCCAGUGAUAAACUGGAGGAAGGUGGGGAUGACGUCAAGUCAUCAUGGCCCUUACGACCAGGGCUACACACGUGCUACAAUGGCAUAUACAAAGAGAAGCGACCUCGCGAGAGCAAGCGGACCUCAUAAAGUAUGUCGUAGUCCGGAUUGGAGUCUGCAACUCGACUCCAUGAAGUCGGAAUCGCUAGUAAUCGUAGAUCAGAAUGCUACGGUGAAUACGUUCCCGGGCCUUGUACACACCGCCCGUCACACCAUGGGAGUGGGUUGCAAAAGAAGUAGGUAGCUUAACCUUCGGGAGGGCGCUUACCACUUUGUGAUUCAUGACUGGGGUGAAGUCGUAACAAGGUAACCGUAGGGGAACCUGCGGUUG